UAAUAAAAGCUUGGUUUUCCACUUCUUGGCUUUCCAGUGAAAGAACCUAGUGGGGAAACCCCCACUCAAUUCCUGAUUCGGCAUGCACCCAAGAAUCACAAACAGAUGA
rnacentral:pre_miRNA from 7 species